rnacentral:rRNA from 1 species
UACAGAGGGGGCAAGCGUUGUUCGGAAUUACUGGGCGUAAAGCGCGCGCAGGCGGCCUUUUAAGUCUGGCGGUGAAAUGCCGGGGCUCAACCCCGUUGCAGGCCGCGGAUACUGGGAGGCUGGAGACGAGUAGAGGCAAGCGGAAUUCCGGGUGUAGCGGUGGAAUGACGCAGAUAUCAGGAGGAACACCGAUGGCGAAGGCAGGUCACUGGGCCGCAACUGACGCUGAGGAGCGAAAGCAUGGGGAGCGAACAGG